GAUGAACGCUGGCGGCAUGCCUAAUACAUGCAAGUCAAACGGGUGUAGCAAUACACAAGUGGCGAACGGGUGAGUAACACAUAGACAACCUGUCCUUAAGACGAGGAUAACAGUUGGAAACGACUGCUAAAACUGGAUAGGAUAAAGUAACGCAUGUUAAGAUAUUUAAAGAUGCUUUCGGGCAUUACUUAAGGAGGGGUCUAUGUCGCAUUAGCUAGUUGGUGAGGUAAGGGCUCACCAAGGCGACGAUGCGUAGCUGUGCUGAGAGGCAAAACAGCCACACUGGGACUGAGACACGGCCCAGACUCCUACGGGAGGCAGCAGUAGGGAAUUUUCGGCAAUGGGGGGAACCCUGGACCGAGCAAUGCCGCGUGAAUGAAGACGAUCUUCGGAUUGUAAAGUUCUGUUAUGGGAAAGAAAGAUAUGGACGAGGAAAUGCGUUAUAUUUGACGGUACCUGAUGAGAACGCCCCGGCUAACUAUGUGCCAGCAGACCC
rnacentral:rRNA from 1 species